rnacentral:rRNA from 1 species
AAACUACAAAGGAAUUGACGGGGACCCGCACAAGUGGUGGAGCAUGUGGUUUAAUUCGAAGCAACGCGAAGAACCUUACCAGGUCUUGACAUCCCGAUGCUAUUUCUAGAGAUAGAAAGUUACUUCGGUACAUCGGUGACAGGUGGUGCAUGGUUGUCGUCAGCUCGUGUCGUGAGAUGUUGGGUUAAGUCCCGCAACGAGCGCAACCCUAUUGUUAGUUGCCAUCAUUCAGUUGGGCACUCUAAUGAGACUGCCGGUGACAAACCGGAGGAAGGUGGGGAUGACGUCAAGUCCUCAUGGCCCUUAUAGGUGGGGCUACACACGUCAUACAAUGGAUGGUACAAAGGGUCGCCAACCCGCGAGGGGGAGCCAAUCCCAUAAAGCCAUUCGUAGUCCGGAUCGCAGUCUGCAACUCGACUGCGUGAAGUCGGAAUCGCUAGUAAUCGUGGAUCAGAAUGUCACGGUGAAUACGUUCCCGGGUCUU